CUACCUUCUCGGCCUUUUGGCUAAGAUCAAGUGUAGUACCUGGUCUUAUCAGCUUAAUACCUGAUACAGCACACUUGUGUGCUGAGUUAUUACGUGAACUUUUCACGGAGGUGGCGGGUAGCUCUGGGGAAACUCAGAGUUCGCCCGGGUUGCCCAGGAGCUGCACUAAGGGCUACUUCGU